ACCCAAAAGAACUGCAAACAGAAUCUCAAAGAGAACUCUGUACACCGCUGCUAGCAGCAGCCUUCUUCAGGGGAGCGCCUAGGUACAGACAACCCACGUGUCCAUCAGCAGAGAAAGGGAUAAACAAGACGGGGCUCCGGCCAUAGAAUGAAGUACGAUUCAGCCUCAGAAAGGAAGGGAAGUCUGACACCUGCGACAACGUGGAUGAGCCUUGAGGGCACGACUAAGUGAAAUGAGCCUGUUCAAGACGGACAAACCCGCUAGACGCGCACUCACACGAGGACCCGGGGACGGAAAGCAGACGGGUAGGUGCCAGGGGCGGGGGAGCCAGUGUGUCGGGAGGACAGAGUUUCAAUUUGCGAAGGUAGAGAGAGUCAUGAGGCUGGACGGUGGCGACGGCUGUACAGCAAGGUGAAGGCAGGUACCUAAUGCUGCCGAACCGGACACUUAAAACAUGGUUAAAAAGGUAAAUGUUACAUCAUGUGUAUCUGGCCGCGAUUAAAAACAAAAAAACGGGGGGGGGAACAAAGUUACCAGGUCUGAAGAAAGUUCUCUGCUCCACUUUCCCCACGGGCUCCUGCUUCUGCCUUUCCUCACAUUUAUCAAGAGCUCAGGCGGGGACCCGACCAGGGAGCCGCGUGGAGAAGCCGCCCUGUGCUCACCGAGGGCCCCUGAGAACAUAGAAUGACAUGAAGGAGGCGUCUCCCACUGCAGCCUCGCUCCGCAGCCAAAGGACCAAAGGAGCCAAGAAAAGGCAGGGCCACUUCCCUUGAGUGGAGCGCUUUCUUCCCGUCACCAGGGCGCCUCCCGCCUGUGCUGCAGCCCCUCCAGCAGCCCACGGCCACCCCCAGGGCACGGCCCUCUCCCUCCUCGCAAUCUUCCGCGACUGUUCCCCCCCGCCUCCGUCCCCCCCACUCCACACUCCAACACCUGAGUGAGCCAGAUUCCUCCGUCCAAAGGCCUCUGUGGCUCACUGCUGUCUCCCAAGUGAAUUCUCAUCUCUCGGGCCUGACAGUGCUGUGACUGGCAAAAGGCACCUCGUGAUAACUGCUGGCAGGUGUGACUUACUGGUCCUCACACACGCGCGGCACUUUGCUGAUGCCACGCCCGCUCCCGUGAGCUGCCUCGCACACCCUUCGGGCUGAGCUCAGACGCUGCCUCUGUCAGGAAGCCCCCCUCCCCGAGAUCACUCCUCUCCGCUCUGUCCUUGCAGCCUCCGGGGCCCGCUGGGAUCGGGUACCUGCCCUCAUCUCGCACCAGAAGACCACAAAGUCACCAGAAGACAGAGCCACAGCCCCGCCCCCUAUGUAGUCCAGACAACUGAGGACUGAACAGGUGUCCCACGGAUCCCCAAGGUGACGAUGGCUCUGCAGACAACGACUUGAAAAAUGGACACGCAAAUGGAGUUUGUGUAUCGGCUGCCGACUGUCUUAGAGAGAAGCAGGGACGCUUCCAAAGGAAGCCGUGAUUUCCAGCACUGUGGAUCCUGAGCCUGCAAGGUGGACACCAGAGGCCCAGGUCCAGCUGCUGUACCACCUCGAAACCAGGAAAAACAGCAAGGUCAAGGACCACCUGCCCAGGACACCCAGGGAGGGUUUUCAUGUGCGCUGCCAGCUCUUCAAGAAUUGGGUGUCCAGGACCAAAUGCUACAGAUGAAGAAGACGUGGUCCAAUGUGAAGCCCGAACACCAUGAAUCACCUGCGCACAUCUCACCAACUACAGAGUCACCUCCUCAGAGAGCUUUUGCCUUGAAGCAUCUGUCUGCCACUCCGACACCAAUACAGUACGGCCUGAUCUUCCUCCUUCCGGCUGAAAACCACCAUGAACCCUCCCUUCCUGCAAUCAAGGUUCCGAGGCCUCCGCCGCGGCCAGCACGUCCCUCAGAGCCCCUUACGAGCAGGUGUCACGCCGCGGGAAGAACCACCAGCACAGGCAGAAGGGCAGAUGUGACUUUUUACUCCGCCGUUUCCCUCUCCGUGUUUCAUAUUAAAUAUCUGAAAUAUAUUAAUCUUAAAAAAC
ensembl:lncRNA